UGGGGAAUAUUGCACAAUGGGGGAAACCCUGAUGCAGCGACGCCGCGUGAACGAAGAAGGUAUUCGUAUCGUAAAGUUCUGUCCUACGGGAAGAUAAUGACAGUACCAUAGAAGAAAGCUCCGGCUAAAUACGUGCCAGCAGCCGCGGUAAUACGUAUGGAGCGAGCGUUGUCCGGAAUUAUUGGGCGUAAAGGGUACGCAGGCGGUUUAAUAAGUCGAAUGUUAAAGAUCGGGGCUCAACCCCGUAAAGCAUUGGAAACUGAAAAACUUGAGUAGUGGAGAGGAAAGUGGAAUUGCAUGUGUAGUGGUGAAAUGCGUAGAUAUUAGUAGGAAUACCAGUCGCGAAGGCGACUUUCUGGUCACGAACUGACGCUGCGGUACGAAAGCGUGGGGAGCAAACAGG
rnacentral:rRNA from 1 species